rnacentral:rRNA from 1 species
UACGGAGGAUGCGAGCGUUAUCCGGAUUUAUUGGGUUUAAAGGGUGCGUAGGCGGACGCUUAAGUCAGCGGUAAAAUUGCGGGGCUCAACCUCGUCGAGCCGUUGAAACUGGGUGCCUUGAGUGGGCGAGAAGUACGCGGAAUGCGUGGUGUAGUGGUGAAAUGCAUAGAUAUCACGCAGAACUCCGAUUGCGAAGGCAGCGUACCGGCGCCCUACUGACGCUGAAGCACGAAGGCGUGGGUAUCGAACAGG